UACAGAGGUCCCAAGCGUUGUUCGGAUUCACUGGGCGUAAAGGGUGCGUAGGUGGUCGGAUUAGUCUGAUGUGAAAUCUCGGAGCCCAACUCCGAAACGGCAUCGGAUACUAUUCGGCUUGAGGGCUGGAGGGGGGACUGGAAUUCUCGGUGUAGCAGUGAAAUGCGUAGAUAUCGAGAGGAACGCCAAUGGCGAAGGCUAGUCCCUGGACAGCGCCUGACACUGAGGCACGAAAGCUAGGGGAGCAAAC
rnacentral:rRNA from 1 species